AUUGAACGCUGGCGGCAUGCCUUACACAUGCAAGUCGAACGGCAGCACGGGGGGCAACCCUGGUGGCGAGUGGCGAACGGGUGAGUAACGCAUCGGAAUGUACCCAGUAGUGGGGGAUAACUAGUCGAAAGACUAGCUAAUACCGCAUACGCACUGAGGUGGAAAGCGGGGGAUCGCAAGACCUCGCGCUAUUGGAGCAGCCGAUGUCCGAUUAGGUAGUUGGUAAGGUAACGGCUUACCAAGGCGACGAUCAGUAGCCGACCUGAGAGGGUGACCGGCCACACUGGAACUGAGACACGGUCCAGACUCCUACGGGAGGCAGCAGUGGGGAAUAUUGCGCAAUGGGGGGAACCCUGACGCAGCAACGCCGCGUGGAGGAAGAAGGUCUUCGGGAUUGUAAACUCCUGUCUUCUGGGACGAAGUAUGACGGUACCAGAGGAGGAAGCCACGGCUAACUACGUG
rnacentral:rRNA from 1 species